rnacentral:lncRNA from 1 species
CAAGACAGAGUGGCCUGAGCUGGUCGGACGCACGAUCAAGGAGGCGGAGGAGAAGAUCAAGGCGGACCGGCCGGACCUCAAAGUCAUCAUUGUCCCGGUAGGAAGUUUUGUGACAACAGACGUCGAUUUGAACCGCGUUCGCGUCUGGGUCGACACGGUGGCGGAGGUUCCCAAGAUUGGCUAAGCUAGCUUAAUUAGCCUAUCACUGGAAUAAAGGCCCAUGCAAGUCUCCACUUUGUUCAGUUAAUUGGCCGAAUAAAUAAGCAUGGGUACAGUCUGAAAAAUGUACGGAUGUGCUAUGUAAUGUUGUUUUGUAUGUGAGUUGUAAGCAUCAGUAAUAUUGUCGAGCCACUGUUUAUUGUUCAAGAAAUAUAAUCUACUUCAGCAUUAGGACAUGAUCUAUGAAUUCUUCUUGAGGGCCAAUAAUAUGCGCGGUAUGAUUUCUAAUAAGUUCAGCGAGGCAGGAAGACAUAACCUUCUUACCCUCCCCUGGACAAAUCUUUUGGGCAUAUUUCUUGUUCUGAUAGCUCUUAUCAGGGGGUUGGAUAGAGAUGUGAGCAGUCUUCUAGCUCCUGGUUAGAAGUCGAGUAACCACAACGGUUCUUUUGGUAUAAGACGUCCUCUUUUUCCUAGAUCAACAAGAGUAAAAGGUUGUUCAUUCUUAGUGCCAUCAUUUUCUUCAGAAGAGAUCCAAUGCAAAUUUAAUGGAGUUUUAUCGUCAUUAUAAUUUCGAAUAUAAAGGAUGUUAUCUUUCACAUGGUUUGUUGCGAUUUUAGCAGCUAGCACAUCCCAAGAAACUUCAAAUUAUUUAUCAUACUCCACAGAGGAAAAUCAUCAAAGAGAAUAUUAAUAACCAUCAAAGAGGCUCUAAGCAUAAGUUCCUGAUCAGACACUCAACAAAAGAGUUAGAGGUAGAAGUUGAAAAGGGGUUACCUUACAUAUCCCUUUUCCUUGUAAGGUUAGUUGCUUGAACGAUCACUUUAUUCAUAUCGCACAACUGGGUGCGCCGACAGAGCUGAAUGUUUCCACAACUCCACAAUAAUCAAGUGCAUAAGGAAAAAAAUAGCAAGCCUUAACAUACAUUAUUUUUAAGGGAUUGAACCAGGUAACCAGGGGAUUAAGUAGCAAAUAAGGGCCAGACUCAAUUUCCAUGACAUGAGGUAAAGGAGGCCAAUCGUGCACACUUAGCCUAAUAUAAUAUAUAAAAGUGCAUAUUAAGAACCAUUAGAUUUUAGUGAUUAAUGACAAAAAAAUUAAGAGGACAAAUUUUUUAUCAAGUCUUUCAGGAACUUGAUUCAUAUUGGUGAGUGGGACAUCAUUGGUGACUGCUAGUUUUUGUGCUAACAAAUGGUUGGCCCUUUGAGCUCAGAGUGUGUAAUUUAUAGGGUUUUAGUGGAUCAAAGAUUCAUGUUAAAUUUAAGGGCAACUGUACUAUCAAGAGGGACAUGUAAAAAUUAACUACUACUAAACUCUAUGUGAAGAUCCUAAACCAAAUCCCUUCACUCCUUCCACCCAAUUUCUCAAGUUUUCAGCUUCCAUGGUAGUUCAGAGUAUUUCCUAUGCGACACUAACGACUCUAUGAGGAAUGAGUGCUUCUGCUGAGCGAACGAAGUUCACUAAGUUUUCUUUGGAUGCCAAGAUUUUUCUCGUGCACCGUGAAGAUUUUUCUGCAGUACCCUGGAGUUGUGUUUUGUUGAGACCAUUUCUAUUACCUCUAGCACCUCCAAGUCUAACUGUUUCCUACACUUCUGUGAACCUCUCGGUUUGCUUCAGCCCAUCGACUCAGAAUAGGUCCGAUACUUCCGAACUUUCUAUCUUCCGAUACAUGUUCAUAUUUGGUUCUUUGAGAGUCUUACUGGACGGCCAGGUACCGCCGAGUACCGCGCAUUUCCAUGAAUAUUUUAUUUCCCACCUGACCGCUCAAACUUUGUGUUGAGUUGUGUAAAUGUGUGAAUAUGUAAUAGUUGGGGGGCUAAGAUGUAAAAGCGCAUAUCUAUAUAGAAUACAGAGAAAGAGGAGGCUGGAUAAGGCGCUCCAGAUUUUUCCCCAUUCUAGUUCUUCCUUCUACCAUCUUCUAAUCCAGAUUUGUUGAAUAUUUCUCUGAUUUACAACAUGGUAUCAGAGCAAGACGAUCCUAGUGCGUCUCUCGCUCUGCCGUAACGCCGCAUCGUUGAGGUGUUGCUGUCGUGUGGCGGCUGGAGCUCGUCUUCGCUCAGAUCCUUUGCGAUUUGGUGGAGCCAAGCAAGAUCGAGGGUUCGGCAGAGAAGAUCGACGAAUACGAUGCGGUGCUGUUCUCACUUUAAGUUGCUGAGAUUCCGGUCAGUUUGAGUCCUUUGUGAUUCAGUUCUCUUUUCUGUGGCUGGGGCAACUUCGUUUGCUGGGUUGAUUUGGUAGUGAUGAGUUUGGCUGAUACAAACUUGUGACCUGUGAGUCUUAUUUGUGGUCUGUUGCCGUAGAGUUCUCUUGCUAGUUAGUGACCAUGGGAGACAAAGACAAGGACAAGGGUGCAGAUUCAAGUGUUGAGAAAUUAUGUGAAAGUAUGCAGUGAAUGCUUGCUCAGCAGAUGGAGCAAGCACAGGUUAAGUCUAGUAGCUCGGCUGAAAUUCAGAAGUCUGUCCUCGAACCAAAUCCAGUAAAAUUAACUGGUCCGGGUGACUAUUUUAGUUGGGCUCGCAAUGCGUCGUUAAUUCUGGAAGUGCAUGGUCUGCAUAAGUACCUAAAUGAAGAUGAGAAAAAGCCAGGAGAGGUAAUGCAGGAACAAUGGGAGCAGAAUCAGAAGCGAGUCAUGGUUUGGCUGUUGGGCUCAACGGAAAAAACUGUUCGGGAACAAGUUGAAAGUUUUCAAACUGCUGCUGAAGUCUGGACAAGUAUUGAAAAACAGUUUUCUGGUAAAUCAAACAAAAUGCAGGUUAGCAGAAUACUACAUGAGAUGUGGCACUUUAGACAAGACCAGAAAUCAGUUACAGAGUAUGCAGGGGAAUUGAAGAAACUUUACAGGGAUCUAGAGUUUUUUAGACCAUUCAAGCCACAUGAUCCUAGAGAUUUGACUCUCCUCAGAGAAUGGUUUGAACCAUUGUUGGUGCAGGUUUUCCUGGAAGGUUUGAAUCCUGAGUUCAAGCUUCGCUCUCAGAUGAUACAAGCAUCUCCUGACUGGCCUACCUUGGAUGAAACUAUUGCCAGUAUUCUUGAAGAAGAGACUCGUUUGGCGAAGCAAUGCCACAGAUGCAUGGUGAUAAUCGUGCUGCACUUACUCACACACAAUCCUCUAUGAGUUUUAGAAGUGGUCAAGCAAAUACUACUAAGUUUGACCACAAACGGAGAAACAAAGUUGUGUGUGAUCAUUGUAAGAGACCUGGCCAUAUGAAAAAGGAUUGUUUUGAGUUGAUUGGUUAUCCUCUAGGAUGGCAGCAGAGAAAAAUAAACAGGUUCAAUGGCAGCGGUAACAGCUUUGAGAAGAAACAAGACCGAGUUCAUCUUGCAUCAUCCACAGGAGAGUUACCUGCAAUUGCUGCUCAGGCUCUAGAAGAGUUCAAGGCAAAAUUGAUGGCUAUUACUGCUGAAGGAUCUAGUGAAGCUGCCAGCUCUCAGAGUGCAGAAGGUGAGAACCAUUUACUUAUGCCCUGGAUAAUUGAUUCGGGUGCCACAAAUCAUAUGACAGGUUCACAAAAAUAUUUUUCAUCAUACAUACCUCGUUCACGAAAGGAUAAGGUCCGUAUAGCUGAUGGAUCUUCGUCUUCCAUAAUGGUAUGUGGAACCAUUAGUUGUACACGUUCCUUACCUUUAAGUCUUGUCUUACAUGUUCCCGAUUUUCCUAUGAACCUUCUAUCUGUCAGUUCAAUCACAAAGUCACUUAAUUGCAGAGCUAUGUUUGAGCCCCGGUUCUGUGUAUUUCAGGACCUGAAGUCAGGAAAAAUACUUGGGACUGGAACUGAGCGUGAUGGCCUGUACUAUCUUGACAAUGUUGCAGCUCCACUUGCAUUUGCUACAGCAUGUACCUCAUCCAUCCACAGAUGAGUUGUUGUUGCUCCAUUGUAGACUAGGGCAUUUAUCUUUCCAAGUCCUAAGUCGUAUGUUUCCAUCACUUUUUGCUUCCUGCUACAAGGAUAAGCUUGUAUGUGAUGUAUGUGAACUAGCUAAGCAUACACGGGCUACUUAUCCUAGUAGUAGUGAGAGAAGUCAAACCCCUUUUGAAAUUGUGCACUCAGAUGUUUGGGGUCCCUCAGUUGUAACCUCUCUAUUAGGAGAGCGUUGGUUUGUGACUUUUAUCGAUGGCUUUAGCCAAUAUACUUGGCUUUAUUUGCUCAAACAAAAGUGUGAUGUGUUAUCUGCAUUUAAAGACUUUUAUGCCUUGAUUUGCAAUCAAUAUAAUGCAAGAGUGAAAAUAUUUCGCUCAGACAAUGGAACCGAGUAUGUUAAUCAGGAGUUUGACUAUUUUCUAGCUUCAAAUGGCAUUAUACACCAGACUACAUGUGUGAACACUGCUGCUCAAAAUGGAGUCGCUGAACGUAAAAAUAGACAUUUAUUGGAGGUUGCUCGGUCCCUCAUGUUCACAAUGAAUGUACCUAAAUUUUUUUGGGGCGAGGCCAUUAAAACAGCAGCAUACUUAAUAAACUGCAUGCCAUCACGGGUUUUGAAUUAUAAAACACCAAUGGAAUGCUUAAGUGGUACUAAUUCGUUUACUGUACCACCAAAGGUGUUUGGUUGUGUUUGUUUUGUUCAUGAUUACAGGAACUCGGUGGGAAAGCUUGAUCCCCGUGUUGUUCGAUGCAUCUUUGUUGGGUAUUCUUCUACCCAGAAAGGCUAUCGUUGUUGGUGCCCUACUGAGAAAUGGUUCUUUGUGAGUAUGGACGUCACUUUUCGGGAGAAAUAACCUUAUUACACGUCAGCCAUCAGUACUAUUGAUAGUAUUGGUCGUGAGGGGGAGAAUUAUGAUAAGGUGGAUGUUCGUAUUGGUUCAAUUUUGACUCCUUUGCUAGAUAUAUCUCAACCAGAUCAAGGAACAGAGGGGGAGGAAAAUGCGAGUACUAAUGAGGGUAGGAGCAGCUCAACUGUUCAUGAGGUAUGUGACACUCCUACUUCUCAACAAGUUAUACAACAUGACAACCCUCUGUCUACAAGUUACAGGUCAUUGCCUCUUGAUUCAGUGCCGCGUGAAGAAACAGAGGAAGGUAGCGUACAUGCUAUGGACCCUACUGAUUCUCCAUUAGUUGAUGGUUAUAUUGAUGACACGACUGAGGAAGGUACUGAAAUUCCUAUUGCAGCUCCUAAAUCUCCACCAGAUGAUUGCCCUAUCGCCUUACGAAAACCUGUGAGACAUCGAGACGUACCAGCACGUCUUAAGGAUUGUGUGGGUUAUAAACAUGAUAUUGCUAAAUUUAUCUCUUAUGAAAAUCGCAGCCCCUCAUUUAAGACUUUCAUUGCUUCUUUGGACUCUACCUCUAUACCCACAGAUUGGAGAGAUGCUAUUAAACAUCCUAAGUGGAAGGAAGCAAUGCUGGAGGAAAUGAAGGCUUUGGAGAAAAAUAACACAUGGGAACUCGUAAAACUACCACAUGGCAAGGAGCCAGUGGGUUGCAAGUGGGUGUAUACGAUCAAGCAGAAUCCUGAUGGCAAGGUGGAGCGAUAUAAGGCACGUCUAGUGGCAAAGGGAUACACACAAACAUAUGGGAUUGAUUACGAAGAAACCUUUGCACAUGUUGCUAAGAUGAGUUCGGUACGAACUUUAAUCUCAUGUGCAUCUAAUCUUAGUUGGGAUCUUCAUCAACUAGAUGUGAAAAAUGCCUUUCUCCAUGGGGACCUUCAAGAAGAAAUUUAUAUGCAUAUACCACCGGGCUUUGACACUGCUCAGACUAAGGAUAAAGUUUUGUGGCUGCAUCGAUCCUUAUAUGGAUUAAAGCAAUCGCCUCGUGCUUGGUUUGAUCGUUUUAGGAGAUCUUUACUUAAAAUGGGCUAUCAUCAGAAUAAUGCUGAUCACACCUUGUUCUAUAAGCGUAAUAUGAGCAAGUUAGCAAUACUGAUAGUAUAUGUUGAUGAUAUCAUCAUUACAGGAGAUGAUACUAAGGAAAUAGAAUACUUGAAGAUGCGGCUAGCGAAGGAGUUUGAGGUUAAAGAUCUUGGACAAUUACGAUAUUUCCUUGGAAUUGAGGUCUCUCGGAGCAAAAAAGGUAUUUAUCUCUAUCAGAGAAAGUAUGUUUUAGAUUUAUUACUAGAAACUGGGCUAUCCAAAUGUCGUCCAGCUCCCACUCCCAUUGAGCAAAAUCAUCGCCUAGUUAGUGAAGCAGGAUCUCCUGUGGAUCGAGAGCGCUAUCAAAGGCUUGUUGGACGACUGAUUUAUAUCUCACACACUCGUCCUGAUAUUGCUUUUGCUGUAAGUGUUGUUAGCCAAUUUAUGCAUGAUCCACGGACUCGCCACAUGGAUGCUGUGAUCCGAAUUAUUCGCUAUCUUAAGGGAUGUCCUGGUCGAGGUCUACUAUAUACAUCACAUGGCAAUCUACAGGUGGAAUGUUAUACAGAUGCAGAUUGGGCAGGCUCUUUGGAUGAUAGAAGGUCAACAUCAGGCUACUGUACAUUUGUUGGAGGUAAUCUUGUCACAUGGCGCAGCAAAAAGCAAAGUGUUGUAGCGCGGUCCACGGCUAAAGCAGAAUUUAGAUCCAUGGCACAUGGAGUGUGUGAAGUGUUAUGGGUGCGAAUCCUUUUGAUGGAGCUGGGUUUAUUUCAGACUAAACCAUUGAUGCUAUAUUGUGGUAAUAAGGCAGCCCUUAGUAUUGCACAAAAUCCUGUGCAACAUGAUCGAACAAAGCAUGUUGAAAUUGAUCGACAUUUUAUUAAAGAGAAGUUGGAUCAAGGAAUUAUUUGUAUGACAUAUGCGAGCUCCUCAAACCAACUUGCAGACAUCUUGACUAAGGGCUUACCAGAUAGAAUGUUUUCUAUCCUUUGUAGAAAGAUGGGGUUAUAUGAUGCAUUUACCCCAUCUUGAGGGGGAGUGUUGAGUUGUGUAAAUGUGUGAAUAUGUAACAGUUGGGGGGCUAAGAUGUAAAAGCGCAUAUCUAUAUAGAAUACAGAGAAAGAGGAGGCUGGAUAAGGCGCUCCAGAUUUUUCCCCAUUCUAGUUCUUCCUUCUACCAUCUUCUAAUCCAGAUUUGUUGAAUAUUUCUCUGAUUUACAACACUUUGAAAACGUCUAGUAGUACCAUGAGCACUUCGACUAGUUAAAUUUUUAAGUGUAACAAUAAGUUUUCCNNNNNNNNNNNNNNNNNNNNNNNNNNNNNNNNNNNNNNNNNNNNNNNNNNNNNNNNNNNNNNNNNNNNNNNNNNNNNNNNNNNNNNNNNNNNNNNNNNNNNNNNNNNNNNNNNNNNNNNNNNNNNNNNNNNNNNNNNNNNNNNNNNNNNNNNNNNNNNNNNNNNNNNNNNNNNNNNNNNNNNNNNNNNNNNNNNNNNNNNNNNNNNNNNNNNNNNNNNNNNNNNNNNNNNNNNNNNNNNNNNNNNNNNNNNNNNNNNNNNNNNNNNNNNNNNNNNNNNNNNNNNNNNNNNNNNCUUUCAUACGCCCUCUCUUUUUGCUUCAAGCAUCUGUGUGUGUGUGUGUGUGUGAGAGAGAGAGGGAGAGAGAGAGAAAUCAUAUGGGUUCUUGAGAGAGUUGAUUGAAGAUCUUUUCAGGACCUCAUGCAAUUGACUUUGCUUUGCCUUUUAGUCUUCGAGGAUGUGCACCCGCUAGGUGAUUAGGAGUCACUUGAGAGCCUUCAAGGUUGUGAUGAAAUCAAGAGUUUGUACAAGGCUCGAUGGUCACAUUCUUCAUGCAAGAUUAAUUCUAAGUGGGACUUUGACCUUAGUGGUAUCAUGGUCCUUGUGGGAUUUUAGUUGGAGACACUGUCAACACCUUUGUGGUCUUAGGACUUUGUGUCCGAACCUCCACCAAUGAGGAGUAGGAUAGGAAUCUUGGAAAAACAUCGUCGUGUCAACAGUAUUUGCUAUCUCUUUUCCCUUAGUCCUACAUUUCUUGCAAGUUUACCUUCCAAAUUCAUACUUUGUUGUAGACAUGUUUGAGUAGGUUCUCCUAAGAAACCAAGUCCAAAAUCUUAUUACUUGCCAACUAAAAUUUGAGGAUAUAAUAUUUUAUGUGAGUAUUCAUCCCUUCACCUCUUGUCCAUAGCACACGGUCCUACAAAAUCAUAGCAUGUCACUCUGAUACCCACAUGUGUAGAGGGGUGGAGGCAAUCUCCAGCAAAAAUAUUUUACCCUGAUAUAAUUUGUUAGUAGGGAUUAUGACUGAGUAUUGAUAUAGGUAAUAGGUUCAGAUAAGUAAAAGAAAAGUGGUGGUUACCUGGUGGUAGUCAAGAAAUAAGUAAUAAACGGGAAAAAAAUUAAAAUAGCAGGCAUUCAACCAUAAUUAAAGAGUGGAUCAGAUCUCGUCGCCCAUACUGAUCAAGAAGACGUCGUGGCUGUUGCAUAAGUGAUGUUGUUGAGAUGUCGUUGGCGAAGAUUGGUCGAAGUAGACAACUAUGGAGUAGAGUGCGUGGCGCCGCAUCACUUGGAUGGAGGACGGUCUCAUGUCGCCAUCACGAUCUAAAUCAACUAGUUUUUCAAUUCCUAAACUUAACGGCAAAGAAACCAAAAAAUAAAAUGGCAAACCAAAGCUGCACUCCUCGACCAGAUUUCGGAUUUUGACGGAUUAUUCACGAACAUGUCAUACGCCACAACGAGCCGAGCGCACACAUGUUCUCUUUUUCUCCUCAUACCCAUCACUUGAUCGUUGCAUCCUCUGAAAUAUCUUUGCAAGUUGGUUAUAUUUUUAUUCAUAGACUACUACAAGAUGAUAAGGUUUUGGUCAAACCUUCAUAUCUACACGUAUCCACGUGCGCGGGAUUGCGGGGCCUGAAAAGUUGACAAUAGCAAUAUCUCGAACAUGCACGUGAAUGUGUGGUUGCGGUGAGAAGCUUGCGUAGACACGGCUUUGAAACUCUCUCUUUUAUUUACUUAGCGUUGCCUAUAAAUACAUGGCCGCUUCAUCAAGACAUCUACAUCUGGAAAGCAAGCCGGUGCUAGGAACGAUCAAAUCACAUAGAAGUGCAUAGAGGUCGUGGUAAGUACCAUGUCAUUCCUCCCUCUUUUUCGAGAAGAUCCGUGUUCUAUCUAUUCCUCCGGUUUACCAUAUCAUUUGUCAUGUAUCAUUGUCUAUGAAAUUUGUCGCCCGUACUCAUGGGCAUCUCUAGCAAAAUGAUCAGAAAUUCAUAUUAGCCAUUUCCUUUAUUUCCAUAUUAUUCGUUAUCUUCUCCUUUUCUACUACUAUGAGACUGCUAAUACUGUACAAAUUUAGAUAGAAAAAGAGUACAAAAAAGAGGCUAAAAGUUGUGACCAAGGCUAAAAGUUGAGUGACUGGGAACAGAUAAUUCAUUUGCCUGAUGUUGACCACGAAGCACUAUAUUCCUUGCAGGCGUUUGCCCAAUUUCAUUCCCACCAUGAGCAAGCCAUGCGACGGUGCCAAUCCCAAGACGGAGUGGCCUGAGCUGGUCGGGCGCACGAUCAAGGAGGCGGAGGAGAAGAUCAAGGCGGACCGACCGGACCUCAAAGUUGUCAUUGUCCCGGUAGGAAGUGUUGUGACACAGGAGGUCGAUCUGAACCGCGUCCGCGUCUGGGUCGACACAGUGGCGGAGGUUCCCAAGAUUGGCUAAGCUAGCUUGUAAUUAGCCAACUGGAAUAAAAGCCCAUGCAAGUCUCAACAUCGUCCAGUUAAUUUGCCGAACAAAUAAGCAUGGGUAUGUUGUGAAGAAAAAUAAGUAUUGUUGGUGUUUUGCGGAAAUGUAUCAUGUGUGGAUCUGUUAUGUAUGUUAUUUUGUUGUAAGUUGUAAUAAGCAUCGUUAAUAUUAUCUGGCCCUGUUUAUAUUGUCUAAUAAAUAUAAUCUACUUUAGCGGAGUGAAAUCCGUUUCA